CCCUCAAAGCAAACUAUUUUUAUUUUUUGCCUACAUUUGUUUUGUAAUGCAAAUUAAUACAAACUGAUAUUAAGUUCAUAAACCCCCACUUACCUUUUCUCUUUGCUGAAAUGUUUUUUUUUGCCCUAUGUAUUAUCUUUAUUACAGUGCCAACAGCAGUCCUCUUGUGGCAUUCAGCACUGCCCCUUGGGAAAUCAUCAAUUGUGUUGCUGUCGUUUCAAUCCAAUGCUUCACAUAGAGAAGUAUUGUGGAUCUAAGGUACAUGUGCAGCAUUCACCACGAUCCAGCAUUCAAAUGCUUCUCCAAGAGAAGCAUUGAUUGCAUUGGAAACAGUGAAGGCUACAACAUGCUUAAAGGACCACUCUAGGCACCCAGACCACUUCAGCUUAAUGAAGUGGUCUGGGUGCCAGGUUCCUCUAGGAUUAACCCUUUUUUUUUUAUAAACAUAGCAGUUUCAGAGAAACUGCUGUGUUUAUGUUAGGGUUAAUCCAGCCUCCAAAGCCUCUAGUGGCUGUCUCAUUGACAGCCGCUAGAGGUGUUUGCGUGCUUCUCACUGUGAAAAUCACAGUGAGAAGAUGCCAGUGUCCAUAGGAAAGCAUUAUGAAUGCUUUCCUAUGAGACCGGCUGAAUGCGCCCGCAUCUCCUGCCGCGCAUGCGCAUUCAGCCGGAGAGGAGGAGGA